rnacentral:rRNA from 1 species
UGACGAAUAGCUAUGCUGAGAGGUAGAAUAGCCACAAGGGGACUGAGACACGGCCCCUACUCCUACGGGAGGCAGCAGUAGGGAAUUUUUCACAAUGGGCGAAAGCCUGAUGGAGCAAUACCGCGUGAAUGAUGAAGGUCUUCGGAUUGUAAAAUUCUUUUAUUAGGGACGAACGGCACUAAGAGGAAAUGCUUAGUGAUUGACUGUACCUAUUGAAUAAGUAACGGCAAACUAUGUGCCAGCAGCCGCGGUAAUACAUAGGUUACAAGCGUUAUCCGGAUUUACUGGGCGUAAAGCGAGCGCAGGCUGAUUAACAAGUCUAGUGUGAAAUGCAGUUGCUUAACAACUGUUUGCAUUGGAAACUGUUAGUCUGGAGUGUGAUAGGGAGUUCUGGAACUCCAUAUGGAGCGGUGGAAUGCGUAGAUAUAUGGAAGAACACCUGUGGCGAAAGCGAGAACUUAGGUCACAACUGACGCUUAGGCUCGAAAGUGUGGGGAGCAAAUAGGAUUAGAUACCCUAGUAGUCCACACCGUAAACGAUGGUUAUUAGUUGUUGGUACGAAGUACUAGUAACGAAGCUAACGCAUUAAAUAACCCGCCUGGGUAGUACAUUCGCAAGAAUGAAACUCAAACGGAAUUGACGGGGACCCGCACAAGUGGUGGAGCAUGUUGUUUAAUUCGACAGCACACGAAGAACCUUACCAGGGUUUGACAUCCUCGGCAAAGCUAUAGAAAUAUAGUGGAGGUUAACCGAGAGACAGGUGGUGCAUGGUUGUCGUCAGCUCGUGUCGUGAGAUGUUGGGUUAAGUCCCGCAACGAGCGCAACCCCUAUUGUUAGUUACUUUAUCUAACGAGACUGCUAACGCAAGUUAGAGGAAGGUGGGGAUGACGUCAAAUCAUCAUGCCCUUUAUAUCCUGGGCCACAAACGUGCUACAAUGGUUGGUACAAACUGUUGCCAAACUGUAAAGUGGAGCUAAUCAGAAAAAACCAAUCUCAGUUCGGAUUGAGGGCUGAAAUUCGUCCUCAUGAAGUUGGAAUCACUAGUAAUCGCGAAUCAGACAUGUCGCGGUGAAUGCGUUCUCGGGUC